rnacentral:lncRNA from 1 species
UUGCUGUCACCAUGUAAGAAGAGCCUUUCGCCUCCUGCCAUGAUUCUGAGGCCUCCCCAGCCAUGUGGAACUGUACCCUGAGCCACUAUCUAAAUUGUCUGCUUACCUUAUGAAGACACCAUAAGGAGGUAUAACGUGUGGUGAGCACAGGUGAAGAGCUAGAGGCCUGAAACUAGAUGGGGAGGGAGAAGCCAGCCAUGCCUGCAUCCAGGGCUGCACUCAGCCUCCCAGCAUCUGUGCAGAGGCAUCAGUCAAGCCACAGCUAACUGCAGUCCCAGCUAACAUUAUGUGGAACAUCCCAGUCAUCCCAGAUCAUCCCAGUCAACCAAGAUCAUAAAAUUGUUUUCAGCUAUUAAGUUUAAAUAUGUGAAAUAAGGAGAUAAAAAUACUGACUUGGACUCUGUCUGAAUGAAAGGAUUAGUAGAUUAGAUUAGUGAUUCUUAAAAGACUUUCUUGGAUGCAUAUAAGUGUCCACAAAAUAAGAGUAUGAUGGUUUCCAGGUACAAAUAAGAUGGAAAACUAUUUUGUGAAUCAGAAUUAAAUUGGUUUAUUUACUGUAGAACUUCUAAGAGGCUUUAACAUGUACAUUUAAUUAUCAUAAGCCUUAUGAAAACUCCAGGAGGACAGAAGAGUUGCCUGUGACUUUUUUUAAAGUGUUUAUUCACAUCCCAAGGAAGGAUUCCCAGAAGAGAUGAUGCCUAAGCAGUGUCCCAACCAUGAAAUAAAGUCUCCUAGCUACUGGACAAGAUCAUCUCGAAGCUUAUUUCCAGCUCCAAAUGUUAUUAUUUUCCUCAAACCCAUUAUAAAAUGGCCUCUCUUAGCACUAUGAGAUCUGUAAUACAAGAAGUAGAACAAACACAUGAAGUUCCUGUUGGAAAUUCAAACUUCUCAUACAGCCUUCACUGAGUUCUACUCAUUAUGGAUAAAGGCUUCUGCUUUGAGUCACCUAAGUACUUUUGACCCCCAACUUAAUCAAUGCCUUGAAGUGAAAAUACAGUGUCAGGCAGUCCCUAUUCAUGACACAAACAAACCAACCAACUCAUAUCAUGACUUAAUGGUGUGAGACCUCAGUAAAAACUUUAUAUGAACUAAA